AUCUAGAAUGAACCGAAUAUCAAAAUUAAUUUUGUCGUGAAUUGUAAUGCAUUUGUAUCAUGAUAUUUCACCCCUAUUGUCCUUAUACAUGUUAUACCCUGUCAACAAGUGUAUAAUGAAAUGUACUUGUUUAAAUAAAUUAAAGUAAUUGGUUACAUAACUUUAGUUGACUAUCAAAUUUUACUAUUAUUCACAACAGAGAUAUACAUGAGGGAGAAGAGCUAUUAUAUGACUAUGGACUCAAGUCUUAUCCAUGGAAUUCUAAGAUUUCUUGUUGUUUUAGACAAACCAUCUGCCCCUAAGGGACCAUUCAGUGUGUCCAAUCUCACUGCUUCAUCUGCUGACUUGAAUGGAAGCCAACAACAAAAGAUAACGGUUCUCCAGUCACAGGCCAUGUUUUUGAGUCCAGACCUAGCACCAGAGCAAGAUGGAGCAAAGUGGCCAAGAUGGAUGACAACACCACCAAAUACUCUCCCAAAGACCUCAUUGACUAUCUGUUCAGGGUGUCUGCUGUUAAUGAGGAGGGACAAGUCUCACCACUAGAGACCAAAGAACCUGUGAGACUUAAGAGGAAGAUAGAUGUUCUAUCUUCAAGUCAAAGUCAAAGUGUCUAAACUUGGUCCCAAUUUUGUGACACUGGAUUGGAAAUCACUGUCUUCAGAUGGAGGCUCCAAGGUGACAGGGUAUGUGGUGAAGCAGAAGAGAGGCUCUGAUGGUGACUGGGAGGAGGUGGCCACUCUAAAGGCCAUUGAGACGUCUUACAAGGUCCCCAAACUUGAUGAAGACCAAGAGUAUUUCUUUUCUAUAACUGCCCUGAACCAGAACGGACAAGGAGAAACCUGUGAACUGGACACGUCUGUUGUUCCAAAGAGACCUCCAGAAAAACCAUCGCCACCAGUUGGUCCAGUCAUACUCUCAGGCAUUCAGAAAACCUCUUUGGUGUUAGCCCGGAAACCCAGCAAGAAUGAGGGCAGAUCUCCUCUAACAGCUUACUAUAUUGAAAUGAGGGACCCUAAUAAUGGAUCCUGGUCUGCAGUCACCAAAGUGACCCCAGACAUCACCAGCUACUGUUUCUUAUGAUUUUGUUUUAAGAUUGUCUAGAAAUGGUGUUUGGAACUGGAGAUAAAGAAGAUCCCCCAAGCAAAAAACUUAAAAAGCAAAGAGGUUUUAAAAGAAUAAGUGGAGAAAGAAAACCUAAUGGACAGCAGCUGAGAAAGCAGCAGUUAAGAGGCAAAUGGGCCAGUUUUUAAAUCUAAGGACCCUGCCAAAAAAACAUGACUGUGACCUGGCUCUUCAAAAAGAAGAGAGUUUGAAAAAUUGAACCUGGAAACAAGUCAAAGACUUUGUUAGAAAUACAAACUUGAAGCUACUUAAACAGUAGGAUUCAAAAAUGAAAUGUAUGAAGUGUUUAGUGUAAAUUGACUUGUUUCUAUAAUGAAAGAAAUUUUAUAAUAUUCAGAACUAGAGACAGAUCAGAAAUGUAGUAUAUGUGCAUUGAUUUACUUGUUAGUUUUCUAGAGAGAGAGACAGAGGAGCUUUUGCUUUUGCUUUAAAAGUAAUUUUAUAGUAUCUUUAUAAUGAUUUUGAAUAUUCAUUGUAAUAGUGGUUGUCUUAUGAAGAAAUUUUUAUGACAAGUAAAAUAAAGCUGUAAGCUCCUGUUAGCCUUCAUGAUACACAUAAACCUGAUAAAAGCCUUUUUAUAGUGACAGACUUGGUGUCUCAUGUAUAUCAUGUUGGACUGCCUAGUGACAUGAAUGCUAAAAAAUUGAUGAAAAUAAUGCCAGAUCUUAGCUGUUAUAUACAUGUAUUUAAUGAUCUUUCCAUAUGAAAUAUUUACUACAUAUAUGUACAAUAUCCUUAAGGAUUUAACCAUUUCAUGCUCUGUUUUGCAUGUACAUGAAGUUAAAAUGAAGGUGAAUUUGGAAUGAUAAAGAUCUACAGCAAGAGCGUAGUUGGCUAAGCUAUUGUUAAUUACGGUAAAUGAAUUCAGUCAAUGUUAUCUAUUUUAUAUUAAGAAUGAAUUUGCUAUGCAUAGUGUUCAAUUAGCUCUUGUUGAUAAAAGAAAUGUUAUUAAAUAUUUUGCCAUUU
rnacentral:misc_RNA from 1 species